GGGCCAGUAGCCUAGUCUGGAUAGGGCACAGGCCUCCUAAGCCUGGGAUCGGGGGUUCGAAUCCCCUCUGGCCCG
rnacentral:tRNA from 1 species